rnacentral:misc_RNA from 1 species
GAUGAAGAACGUAGCGAAAUGCGAUAAGUAAUGUGAAUUGCAGAAUUCAGUGAUUCAUCGAAUCUUUGAACGCACCUUGCACUCCUUGGUAUUCCGAGGAGUACGCCUGUUCGAGUGUUAUGAAGCUCUCAAAACGCAAUUGGCUUAAAACCUGAUUGUUGUUUUGGAUUUGAACUUUGCCGUGUUAUAACGGCUGGUUUUAAAAGUAUUAGCUGGUACUAGAACGAAUUGGUUCUACUCAACGUGAUAAUUAUCUGAUCGUUGAGGACAUUCCUUUCACGAGGAAUGGCCAUAGUAAAUUCAAUGGACUGCUUCUAAUCUGGCUUUAAUUCUUUAUUGGAUUAACCACUUUUCAAAUCUGACCUCGAAUCAGGUGGGACUACCCGCUGAACUUAAGCAUAUCAAUAAGCGGAGGA